rnacentral:lncRNA from 1 species
UCUGUUUGCUAGAACGUGUUCACAUUUCGCAUUCAAAAUGCUUGCAAAAUUACCCAUUGAAAUAAUGGAUAAAAUAUUCGAUUACCUGAACCUGAAAGACCAAUUGAAAAUGGCUAAAGUUAGCAAACAUUUUAAGUCUGUGUUUGUAUACAAUUCCCGCGACAAAUACAAGAAGAUUGUUUGCUGCAAAUAUUCAGACGACGAGCUCCAAUUAAUAAUGCGCCUAUGCGGACACAAAGUUACCCAUGUGAUGGUGUUACACAAUAUUAAUGAGGCGACUUGUAAACUAAUAUCGCAGUACUGCAUUAACAUAGAAUCUGCCAUUUUGAAUCUUAAAAAUGUUGGUGCAUGCAAAUCAAUAUUAGGAAUGAAUAGCCUGAAAACAAUUGCGUUGGAAAAUAUGGACGAGUGUGAUUUGGAUGUACUCAAUUACAUAAAUCCAGAAUGUAAAGGAUUAUCUGUAGGCAAUUUUUCGUAUGCUCAGGGUAUGAAUAGUAAUUAAUUCAAAUGGAAUAUCUUUAACAUUUGUGGCUUUUGCAGCUGAAAAUAUUGUGAAGCUGAUUAACUUGGAAACGUUGGAACUUUCUGGUUUACAAUGUUAUAAAACCGAUGAUCUGUUUAAAAUGUGUUCCUCUUUCAAGAAGUUGCGUGUCCUGACAAUUCGAGACAUUUACUUUACAACUCCCGAGCUAAGUAUAGGGAGAAAUGAUAUUGUAAUCUCAGAAUUGGAAGAACUUCAAAUCACUAAUUGUGACAUAAAUUUAAAUUUACUGCCCAAAUGUCCGAAGCUCAAAACAUUGAAAUUUGCUCCGAAUGAAUUUUUGAGGAACGUUGAAGUCAGAAAUAUUAUCAAAAUUUACGCUGGGACAUUGGAACAUUUUAAAUUUAAAAUUAAUCGCAAUAGACUCAAAAACUUUAGUUUAAAUGAUUUUAUAAAUGAUCUCGGAGAGUGCAGGAACAUCAAGAGUCUACAUGCAGAUGCGUUCUUGGUAUGGCGCUUAUUGCACCAUCAUCUCGACUCUUUUAUCACAUUUUUAAGGGAUAAAGGCUUCAAUCUACAGAGAUGUUUUGAAUUGAAAUGCGAUAUGCUGAUCGACAGUAAUCGGCUCCUUUUGGUGAGUGUUUAAAAAACACGAUGACUUCUGAUGUUGACACUUACUUUAUUUGCUUUUGUAGGAGAAAGAAAUUGUAAAAUCGGAAGUGUGCAAUUUAAUUAAAUAUUCCAGAUUUGGGCCAACUGUGAGCUUUAUUUUGCAAGUUAGGUAAUUACCUAACCCAAACCAAGCCAGCCCAAGCACUUGAAUCUCGAGGUAAAUGAAUAUUUUCAAACAAAGCUGUCUUAAAUGUUCUUAAAUAAAAAAUGUUAUACAUUUACU